rnacentral:lncRNA from 1 species
UCCCCAUUGCCCUUCUCCUGAUGAGUCCUGAUCUCAUCCAGUCCUAGCUCUCUCUCCAGUGUCACCUCCCGAUCUGCUGUGACCCUGACAUGCUGGUUGUAUAACCGGCAGGUCUCACCUCACAGUGGCCUUACCUCACAGUGGCCUUGCACAUCAUCUGCCCCUCGGACACUGCUGUCUCCAAGACUCCAUGUGAGCACUUCCUUCUCCAGGAAACCCUCCCUGACUCCUGCUCCCCUGCCCUUGGGGCCUCCAGCCAGGCCAGUGCAGGCAGCAGGAUGCCUCAGGAGGACCUGGGAAGUGGACCCUGGCCCUGCAGUCCACUCCUGCCCUGGGAAGAGUGAGAAGGGGCUGGAUCCAUCACAGUGCCUGAUCUUGGACCCUGGCUCUCAGGAGACGUCAGCAGGACGGAGGCCACCCUUGGUCCGCUGUGUGACCCUGCUGGUCACCUGGCUUCUCCGGCUCCUCUCCCACGAGAGGGCCAGCACCGCCCAGGGCCCCCCUCCUCAGCCCUGCUGCACCCCGAGGCGGGACUGAGCCUCCAGAGUGCUGGGAUUACAGAUGUGCACCACCACACCCAGCAUGCGCUGUUUUAUUAACUACUGUGUGAAAAUGGUACCUCAAGGAACCAGAGCCAUGUGGGUUGAACACUUGCUAAGUUCGCCCCUGCUGGGAUUCGUGCCUCCGCGCUGCGUCUGUGGGCUGAGGUCUUCCC